rnacentral:rRNA from 1 species
AACGAACGCUGGCGGCAUGCCUAACACAUGCAAGUCGAACGAGACCUUCGGGUCUAGUGGCGCACGGGUGCGUAACGCGUGGGAACCUGCCCUUAGGUUCGGAAUAACUCCCCGAAAGGGGUGCUAAUACCGGAUAAUGUCUUCGGACCAAAGAUUUAUCGCCUUUGGAUGGGCCCGCGUUGGAUUAGCUAGUUGAUAGGGUAAAAGCCUACCAAGGCGACGAUCCAUAGCUGGUCUGAGAGGAUGAUCAGCCACACUGGGACUGAGACACGGCCCAGACUCCUACGGGAGGCAGCAGUGGGUAAUAUUGGACAAUGGGCGAAAGCCUGAUCCAGCAAUGCCGCGUGAGUGAUGAAGGCCUUAGGGUUGUAAAGCUCUUUUACCCGGGGUGAUAAUGACAGUACCGGGAGAAUAAGCUCCGGCUAACUCCGUG